AAAUGUUAAUAGGGGUGCUUAAAAAGCUGAGAAUAUACCCUUCAACCUGAACUAGAUAAUACUAGCGGAGGAAAUUAAAAUGAAAUACUU
rnacentral:ncRNA from 2 species